CCAUGCUUCCUUGCAUUCAAUAGUAUAAUAUCAAGCAUAUGGAAUGUAAAGAAGUAUGGAG
rnacentral:pre_miRNA from 1 species